UUGACUGGUUCUUCCUCCCGGGUCACUGUACUUCCAGCACCUUCAAUUCAGCUAUAGCCGCAGGAGAGCAACUCAGGACCCGAGUCCAAGAGAUUACAACACAACUCGAGUCAACACACUUCGCCUGACGCCAGGUGCCCAGCCAAGGUGUUCAAAACCUGUUGAGAAGAUUCCGAAUGUCCUCACCUUCUGAAGGCAUCUCACACGAAGUUCAUUUCACCUGGGCCCUUCAGAGUGCAGGACACCGCACACCAGCACAGUGGUUGGGAGCUUGUAGAAGGUGAGCAACGCAGAGGAAGUAACUGCUACUUUAUCAUGGCGACCAACUUUGCAGGAUGUGGUUUCCUGGCCAUCUGCACCACAGGCGAGAACCGUGAAGGCGUCCAGCAAGUCACAUGAGAAAGCCACAGCCAGCACCUGUAUCCAGUUCUGGCUCAUGCCACAUCAAACUACACCUGUUCUGUCCUCAGCUUUGAUGUCAACUUGACGCAAGCUGGAGUCAUCUGUGAGGAAGGAACCAAGAAAAUGCCUUCCUAAGAUCGGGCAGGAGACAGAUUCGAAACCAAAUAGGCAAGAAGCCUAGAAAACAGCUGGGGGAAUCACAAGGUUUCUGGUGUUCUUUGGGGCUUAGGGGAGCCUGACAAGCAGAAUCAGGAAAUGAACCAUGACUGCUGAAAGUACUGCAGAGCUUCCUUCUAGCCCCCGCAGACAGAUCGGCUUCUGCAGUGCCCAAGAAGGCCAAAGAGGGCAUCAGAUUGCCCUAAAACUGGAGUUACAGCCAGAUGAGAGCUACCAUGUGAACAUAGUGGCUUCUGUUGCUUGCUGCCUCUGUCAUUGGCUCACGGAAACUACACUCCCACGAGGGUGAGGACCACAACAAAAAUCUGUUGCCAACCACAACUGUAAAUCAGAGAAGCCUGCGCAGGCUUACGCUUGAUCUGAGCUUUGCUGACCCAGGAAUGGACUCCCUACUUCACGAGAAAACUGAGUGAGGAAGCUUCGGGGAUCUGACUCACGGGCUGCUGUUCAUAGCCAGCCUCAGCUUUCUCCAGUGACAAAGCCGGCCUACAACCCUUGUGGCCACUUGCUCCCUCAGCUACCUCUGUGUUCCCUUAGCCUACACGACUGCUUACCCUGUAGCCCUGCUGUGACCCCAUUCCUUUCUAGCUAAUGUCACCUCUUAGUAGUUAAACUGAGCCUUGGGGACGGUGCCUGUAAUAUCAGUGUUCUGGAGGCCGAGCUGGGGAGACCUGGAGUUUGAAACUUAGUGAGAACUUUUUCUGUGGUCCUCAAUCUCCUUCCAUUCCCCAUGCAGCAGCCACAUUCUUCAGGAAGCAAUCCAGGCCCUUCAGUGGGAUACAGUUCCUCUCUCCCGUCUCUUCCAUCCCAGUUCUGUUUGGUUUUGUUUUUUUUUCUCUCAAGGCGCGUCUAUCUUACUUGGCAUUUACUGUUAUCUUCUAUGCUGGAUUUCUUGUAGAAAGAGGGCAGGGCUUCUGGCCUUAUACAUCCCCAACAUUCUAUUAAUAUCUAGUAUGUGCGAAGACUGUAAAGUCAGUUGGUUCUAGGCCACAUUGCAUUCCACUUGGCCUUGCUGAGGUGCCUACUUCCCUCAGGGCCACUGGAUGUUUGAAGUGGACUACAACGGCCUUGAGAGAGGCAGUGCCUUAGUAACAAAGAAACGUUCUUCAGUCUCCCCCGGUCACUGCCUCCGCUGCUGCUUUCGGUGAACAGCAUUACUGGUGACAGCUGGAAGUGAAGAGGGGGUUGUCCCCAAGAGGAAAGAAAGCGUAGGAGUGAGAUUGCGAGUACUUACUUGUCUCGAUGCUUUGACAAAAAUAUCUGAAAAAAAGCUAUUUAAGGAGGGGAACGUUUUGGUUUCUUAGAGAGAGAGAGAGAAAGAGCAAGCUGGCACAUACAUGCCAUAGUGUGGGUGCCGGUUCUUGCCUUCUGCUUCGCUUGAGACAGGAUCCCCUUUUCUGUGGUUUACCAGGCAUACUCUAGCAAGCUGGCCCACCUCCAGUCUUGCCAUGGGGUUACUGGGGUUAUAGAUAUGUACUAUUGCACCCAAAUGGACAUGGGUUCUGAGGGUUCAAACUUGACACUCACUUUUGCAUGGUAAACACUUUAUCCACUGAACCAUCUCCACAGCCCGGGAAGGAAUGGUUUAUUAUGGCUUGUCUAGGGGAUAUAGUCUUCAUCAUGGUAGAGAAGGCACGACAGAGGAAUAUGAGGCAGCUGGCCACCCUGUGUCCACAGUUCAAAAGCAGAGAACAAUGAAUAUCCGUACUUAGCUUGCUUUUUGCUUUUUACACAGUCCAGGAUCCCACAUUUUGGGUGAGUAUCCACACCUCAAUCAACCUAAUCUAAAUAACCUCCCACAGGCAUGCCUUGUCUCUUCAGCAAUUCCAGACCUUUCCAAGCUGACAAUCUCCAACAGCCACAGUAGAGAAAUACUAUGCUGGCAUGAAGAGUGUCCCCAGAAGUUCAUAUCCACUUAGAACUCCAAGACGGGACCUCCUUUGGAAAUAAGGCAUUUGCAGAUGUAUUUAGUGAAUCUCUGAAUUAAUACUGGCUUAAGGUGACUGUUCUCUUUAUAAAACCACACAGAGGCGCUGUGGCCUAUGCUCCCACAGGAGGACAUGCUGAUAUCCAUGACUUGUGUUGGCACCAAGGGCCAUGAUGGUGCCCGUGAUCCAUGCUGCAGCCAGAGGCUGUAUGGAUGGCCAUGGCCAUGGUCUGUGUUACUGCCGAAGGCUAUGUAGAUGUCAUGCCUAUGUUGUAACCGAGGGACUUGUUGAUGUCCAUGGCCCAUGCUGUUGCUGACAGCAAAGGGCAAGGAAGCUUCUCUUGCAGUGGUGUUGGUGACUGCAGACUCACAGUUGAGACUAAGGGACUUCACAGGCUUCUGUGACAACUUCUCUCCCCCAACCCACACCCCAGUCCCCCUAAAAGAAAUAAUCUAUGUGGGGCAAUGGUUUGUACCCUGUCAAUUGUAUUUUAAUAAAAUGCUGAUUGGCCAGUAGCCAGGCAGGAAGUAUAGGCUGGGCAAUGAGAGCAGGAGAAUUCUGGGAAGAAGGAAGUCGUGACCCAGCCACAGAAGAAGCAAGAUGUGACGGCCUCGUCAAAUAAGGUACCGAGACACGUGGCUGACAUAGCCAUGAAUAAUGGGCUAAUAUAAGAGUUAAUGAGAAGUCUGAGCUACUAGGCCAAUCAGUUUAUAACUAA